ensembl:lncRNA
AUGUCCUUGUCUAAACUAGACUCUGGCCUGUGGGGGGGCAGGGGCCCCGCCGCCCUCAGCCCCUGGCACUGCUGUCUUUCUGGGUGCCUGGCACAUCCUGCUGCAGCCGACCGAGGGCAGCCCAGCAGGGAAAGCGGAGCUGCAGGCAGGAGGCGCGGCCCGUUUCAUCCACCGGGGAUGGAGCGAGCUACAGUCCUGGCCUCUUCAUGUGCUUCCAACGCCGGCGGCCUGGACACACCCGGGAGCAGCCGUCACCCAUUCACAGAGAGCUUUGGUGAAGGUCACCAUCCGCAGGGACAGAGCAGGUAUUGUCAAGGACGCCAGCCUAGCCUUUGUGCCCUGCCGGCUGCCCCAACCACAGGAAUUCCUCACACUCACCCUCAUUCACACCAGGAGGGCUCCCACUGCCGCUGGGGGUGGCCGCCACCCCCUCCCUCCCCAUGCUGUUUUCAGGUAGGAGGCUGGAGCCUCGGCCAAAGGAACCUCACCCACCAUUUUCCAAAACCUAAUUGCCACGGCUGUGUCUGUGACGGGCACAGACCCAGGCGCCGGGCCUGCCAAGAAUCUCCCCGUGUGAAUACCUGCACAGGGCACCUCCUGUGGGAACCGGGAGUCACACAGAGCCUGGCAUUUGUCCCCAGCCUGUCUUGUGACAUUAGAUAGAUCAAAGCCCCAUUGUAAAAAGUCAUGUUACCUCUGUUCAUCUGCUUGGAGCCUGUGUCCUGGGACGGCCCUUCCCUCGGCUCUGGCUCAGGGAGGGAGCUGACCGCCGAGACAGACAUGUGCUCACAUUUGGGCCCCAGCAUUCCUCCUGGAAGGAGCCCCACCGAAAGUGAAAUUGCCUUUCAUGGGUCUGAGGCUGGGGCACACCCUGAGAAAGAAUGAGAAAACGUGGGGCAGCACAGCUCCUCUCCAAAGCCUUCAGAGGAACAAGUUCCUACUUGGUUCUGCUGAGGAACAGCAAGAAGGCAGAGAAAAAUGUCACCAACGCCGAAAUCCUGGAGGCUUCCUGAAUCAGUGAUGAGGGUGGGGAGCUGGCAGAGGCUGGGGAGGGGGCAGCUUCUGUCCAGCAGCCCCUUGGGGCAUGGCAGGGACGGGGCAAUGGCAAAAGUGAGAAGACACGAGGCUUUGACAAGAAUGAGUGGUGGGGCAGGAUCAGAUCCUUCCAGAGGGCACAGCUUCCCCUUGACUCCCUGGCCAUUGUGUGUCAGAUGAGGGGGAUAGUCAAAUUGCUCAACCACCUGACCUGUGAGCUGGAAGCAUCUUUACCCAUCAUACAGUCCUUAGGUAGUCCAUUGGUACAGGCUGCCUGGAGCAUGUGCUGAGAUGGGAAGAAAUGCACCAAGAUGGAUUGGUAAUGUCUGCAUGGCUGCCGGUCUCUCAGUGAUGGUGUGUGUGUUGUGUAUUUGCCAUCUCUAGUCAGGAUAAGCUAGGUUUUGCUGCCAUAACAAAUAAAUCUCCAAGCCUCAAUUGCUUAUUGCUGUGAGAACUCAUUUUCUCUCACCCAAAGCCCAAAGUGAAGGGGGUGACCUGUUAGGACAGCCGUGCUCUACGUAGUGAUUUAGAGAUCUAGGCUGUUUGUAUCUCAUGCUAAUGGAGGGUCUCAUGGUGCUUCUCAUGGGCUUAGCCUGGAAGUGACACACACGUUGCUUCUUCUUACUUUUCACCAUCCAGAACUGCUUCUGUGCUCUCUGGCCGCGGACUCCCUCAGAAGCCAGCAUGUGUCCAG